UAUGAAAUCCAUUUGGACGAGAGUAGUACUAGGAUGGGUGACCUCCUGAGAAGUCCUCGUGAAAGGGUUUCAUAU
rnacentral:rRNA from 1 species